rnacentral:lncRNA from 1 species
ACCUGCAAAUUUUUGAAGAAACAUUAUAGAAACUAGUAAACGGAACCAGCAAAUAUUUGGAGAAAUGAUCGAAAAAAGAUGAAUAGGAGGCUUAGAUUUGCAAUUAAAUCAAAAUACUGCAAUUGGUUGUCUGCAGAUGGAAUUUAACCAUCCAAGAUUUGUUGCCGUCAGGAUCAUUUGAGAGUACGCUUCAUAUUGCAAC